ACAAAGUGGGGCCCACACCCUAAUAUUUUAAGAACAUCUUCCUACAUCAUUAUGGGGGAGGGUAUGUGCUAAGUAACGAUUGAAUUCGUAUGAAAAUUUCAGAACGCUACAGUAGCGUGAGAUGCAAUUUUAGGAGAGCACGACACAAUCUUUUUCAAGAAUAUCAUACGGUUUUUUCCCUACUUCGAUCUGCCGUUACAUGUUUUAUCGUGUUUGACGUGUGUUGGAAGAAUUAUCAAGAGAACCGUCUUAGGUAUGUUAAGGCUAUACCUUCUUUCCGUUUGGCAUGAUCCAAGUAAUGAUACGUAAACGUAAUGUUAUUUCAUAAAUGGUUCUACUCUUAGUAACUAAGAAGGUUUACGUUGCUCAUUCCUGUAACAUGAUAUUUAAAGCAUGCCUAAGUAUGUUCCUAGCAAUCUAUUAAUGUACUUAAUAAAGAUGUUAAUGUCAUAAUGGUAUUAUAUGCAUCAUCACUUACCACCAAGCUACGGCCGGUCGGGAAGUCAUGCAUUUACCACCGAACUACGACCGAUUGGGCAUUUACACAUUUACCAUCGAGCUGCGACCGGUCAGACAGUCACACAUUUACCAUUGCGCUACAGCCGAUUACCACUGUUCAGUUGAGCAGUUAACGUCACUAGAAUGAUGUAAUCAGAAUUAUUAUAUUGUAGUUUUAUUUAUAUAUACGAGAUAGGUCUUAUUCCAUAUGUUAUAGCCCUCAACGGCAAGUCAGAGGUUAUAAGUUGACUCUUAUCCCUCCCCGAGAUAGUAUCUUAUUAUUACAUUUCAUUUUUGCCUUACAUACUCGGUACAUUCUUCGUACUAACGUCCCUUUUUCUGGGGUGCUGUGCUUCAUGCCACACAGGUGUAGAUAGGUGAGGUGAGGACCCUCAACUGUAGGCUGCCUCCAGAUAUCAGCUUUUGGUUGGUGAGCUCCACUUCUUCCUGGAGUAUUACCGAGUCAUGUUCUAUAUAUGUUAUUUUGUUUUAUGAGGAUGUUGGGAACCCUAUCCCAACUUAUAUAUUAUGGUCAUGUUUUCUUAGAGGUUUUGCAGACAGUGUCUUAUGUAUAAUUUUAGGUAUGACAUGUCAACGGCCUUGUCG
rnacentral:lncRNA from 1 species